rnacentral:rRNA from 1 species
UACAGAGGUCUCAAGCGUUGUUCGGAUUCAUUGGGCGUAAAGGGUGCGUGGGCGGCGCGGUAAGUCGGGUGUGAAAUCUUGGAGCUUAACUCCGAAACUGCAUUCGAUACUGCCGUGCUUGAGGACUGGAGAGGAGACUGGAAUUUACGGUGUAGCGGUGAAAUGCGUAGAUAUCGUAAGGAAGACCAGUGGCGAAGGCGGGUCUCUGGACAGUUCCUGACGCUGAGGCACGAAGGCCAGGGGAGCAAACGGG